GGCUUCCAGCACAAAAAAACUAAACUCUGCUACCCGACCCAAAGUCCCAAACUAACAAUUAGGUCAAGUCGUCGAGACUCGAGUCACUACACCACGUUCUAUUCGGUAUUUACCAACUACAAACAUCUGUAAUUGUCAAUUUGGUCAAAAGUAGCAGGCUAGCAGCAGCCAGCAAGCCAAGCAGCCAGCAACCAACAACUGCAAGAAGAGUUCGAAGAGGAGAAAAUCUAUCAAUCAUGGCAUCUCAAGAUUCUCAACAACAACAAGAAUCAUUACAACAAACACCUAAUGUGGUACUCGUAGAUUUGGAAACAGAAGAUGUGAAAGUUGUUGAUGAACCGGGGGGAAAAUGUGAAAAAAAAGGGUAAAAAGAGUUCAAAGGCAUGGGAAUAUUUUGUAGAAAUGAAAGGUUGUCCAGAAGGUUAUGAAAACGCCAAGUGCAAGCUAUGUAAUGUGGUUAUUGGAUGUAACACAAACCGGAAUGGGACAUCUGCCAUGAUGAACCAUUUAAGAACGGUAUGUCCAAAAUCACCAUUGCAUAACAACCUUGAUAAAUUGCAGAAAACAUUGAAGUUUGAGAAGUUGUCCAAGGAUGAUAAACUUCAAACACUCAAGGCUCAUACAUUUGAUCAAGAAAAAUUAAGGAAGAAGCUCGCAUUAAUGUGUAUAAAAGAUAAUCUUAUUCUUGGCUCAUACAUUUUCUUGGCUGAUUUUUUAUUCUGAUUGUUGAUAUUUUAUUGUAUGUGGUUGAAAGGAUUGUGAUAGUAGGUAUUAUUCUUGCUCUUAUUCUUUUCAGUUGCCUCA